rnacentral:rRNA from 1 species
UCGGGAAUUUUGGGCAAUGGGCGAAAGCCUGACCCAGCAACGCCGCGUGGAGGAUGAAGUAUUUCGGUAUGUAAACUUCGUAAGAAUAGGAAGAAUAAAUGACGGUACUAUUUGUAAGGUCCGGCUAACUACGUGCCAGCAGCCGCGGUAAUACGUAGGGACCAAGCGUUGUUCGGAUUUACUGGGCGUAAAGGGCGCGUAGGCGGUUUGUCAAGUCAGUUGUGAAAUCUCCGAGCUUAACUCGGAACGGUCAACUGAUACUGUCAAACUAGAGUACAGAAGGGGCAAUCGGAAUUCUUGGUGUAGCGGUGAAAUGCGUAGAUAUCAAGAGGAACACCUGAGGCGAAGGCGGGUUGCUGGGCUGAUACUGACGCUGAAGCGCGAAAGCUAGGGUAGCAAACGGGAUUAGAUACCCAAGUAGUCCCUGAGCGGGCUGGCAAGGCGCAU